CAGGGACGGGGGUGUACUCGGACGAGAAGGAACACCUAGGAUCAGUACUGGGUUCCCAAAACAUCUCAUCCGAAGCAAACACAGUCUGUUACAGGCAGUGGUGAAGAACUCACAGCCAGAACUGGAAGAACCAUGGAGUCACAGUCCCAAAGUAGAACCCCCAGCCUGCACAGGAGCAGCCGUCUGGGGAGGGGGCGGCCCUGCCUGAUCCUGGGACUCGGGGUCUUUCUCUGGAGGAGAGUGGCAGUGACCAGGGGAUGAUGAGCAGCCAGAAAAAUGUUGUCCAGCCCCCCUCCUUACGCAAGGCAGCCCCACAGCUGAAGCAGGGAGGAAUGGUAUUAAGUCAUUCUUUUCCUUGAACCCGAGAUUGUAAGAUCAUGCUGAUUUGUGUGUUUGCCUUAAAGGGAACGGUUACUUCUUUUUCUCCGUAUCCGAAUCUCGCCCACAUGGUGUGCAGGGCUGGGGAGGGGUGGAGGGGACAGAGCCCCACGUUCAAAUCCUGGUUCUGCCACGUACUGACUGUAUACCGAGCAAGUGUGAAAACUUCCGGCACAGCUCACUGGCGUUCAGCAAAGGUCACCUUCUUUCUUUCCUUUCUCUCCCCUGCUCCCUUUCCGUUCCCCCUCAUCGCCUUUAAAAGCCAACAAAAACUCACUUUUUCGUUUCUUCUACGUCCUUUUUGUCACCUGCCCUCUGACGAAGGCCAUGUAGAGAGGCAUUUUGUCCCAAGGCAGCACAUUUUGGACAGGUGUUCUGUUUUCCCGGGAGUUGGUGACAUUCGGCCACGUGGCCAUAUACAUCUCUCAGGAGGCAUGGAGGCAGCCGGGACCUGGACGGAGGAAACGCCUGGAAAGAAGUUGGGAGAAACCUGCAGAUUUGCCAACCUCCCCACCCAGGGUCGGCUCCCCCGAGGAGCAGGAGGAGGACCCGCGGAGGCGAGAUCUUCAGCGUCCCGGAGAGGAGAGUGCCCGCGACUCCCCGGCAGCAGCCGGUGCGGGGAGAAGCCAGCCUGGCCACCUGCCUGUCCCGAGAAAAGCCAAGACGUGGGCCAAGCUGCAGGGCCUGGAGGAUGAGAAGGUGGCAGGGGUGCACUGGGGCUACGAGGAAACCAAGAUUUUGGGGGAGGAUUCUCGGUGAGUCUUGGAUCCACAAGAAACUGUACCUGCCGUGGUAACCGGAGUGCGGUUGCUGGAGCGCGGCUUCUCCCUGGAGCAGUGUCGCUACCGGUUCUAAAACCUGCAGACCUUCUACCGCAAGGCCAGAAGCACACAUGGGCUGGGCACCUGCCCCUUCUACCGUGAGAGGGACGCCCUGAUGAACCCCGGACCCGGGCCGGUGCCUUUGAGGCUGUGGAGGCGGCUGGCGGCCUCCCGCAGAAUGGAGGCCGCGCUGGAAGGUGUGGCGGGAGCCGGCAGUGAGCUGGCCGAGGAGCCCAGGAGCCGUGUCCCCCCAACCCCUGCUCCGAGGGGGAACCCCAGUGGUUAGCUCUCCCCGCAGGGGCCCACAGACGGUGGGGGGAUGAGGUUUCGCGGGAAGCUUUAGGGACCGUGAAGCGGGACAGACCUUUAUUGUCCAUCGCUCUGCAAUGAGCUCAUCAGGAGGGAAAUCGCUGCUUUCUUAACUGGUAGCCCGGGGUGACUCACACACACAACUUUGAGGGUCUUGCCCUGCUUCCUGUCUGCUUUUAGUAAUGUCAUAGAAACCAUAUUUAGUAACCGUUCUAGGAGGAAAGAGAGGUUGGAGAGAUUUAAAGUUCCAGCCAUCUGUUUCCAUGUAACGUGCCCCGUGCAUAUUACAUACAACAGUCUCCCACGGAAAGACCUGUCUGUUCUUGGGCGCCUCCAUUUCCUCAUCUGUAAAAUGGGCAGAGUGACAGCAUCUCCCUCACUGGGCUUUUCUGAGGAUCCUGGCACACUGCUGGCCCUCAGCGGAUGUUCGUUUUCAUCGUCAUCAUCGUUCUAAUUACUGAGUGAGAUGGACACCGUGCCUUGUACCCCUCACUUAAGGGGCACAUUUCCCGAGUCAUUAACUAAACGUUCUCUUCUUAAAACCAGAUCUUUCUGGGAGGUGUUUCCAUUCUCAUUUCACCCACCACUUCCAGACGAGAACAGACAGCAAACUGCAUAAGCGCUUCCUGUCCCUUCUUGGUUUUCCUUGAGCAGGACUUCCAGUCCCCCAGCCGGACGGGGUCACAAGGCUGGAGAGAAGCAAAGAGCCCUGGACUGAGGGUCUCCGGGACUUUUGGAAAACAUGCCGUGCAGAUCUUGAAGCAAGGACGAAGAAUGAGGAAAAUUCAAGCCAGAACAUUUCAGAGGCAGCCCAACUCCCGGGGGCAUUAUUAGAAAGACCCACAGUGGAUGUCUCAGAGUACCUUGACGGGGAAAGACUGGGAAGGCAAAUAUAGGGCAGGAAAACAUCUUCUAAGGGAACUACCCUUAGAAGAUGGACAAGAGUCAGUCCCCCCUCCAGAAAGAGACGUAGGGAAAUUUAUAGGUUCUCAGGGAACCUACGUCGGAGAAAAAUCCCAUCCAUGCUGUGAAUAUGGGGAAAAUUUCAGCCAGAGCUCCCAAUUAGCCGUCCACAGGUUAGCCCACUUUGGAGAAAAGAAACCUGUUCAGUGUGGCCAGUGUGGCAAAGGCUUUGGCCGAAGCUCACAUCUGGCCUGCCACCAGAGAACUCACGCCGGGGAGAAGCCCUACAGAUGCCCCGGAUGUGGGAAAGGCUAACCUGGCAGCCCAGCGGAGAGUCCACACUGGAGAAAAGCCCUGUAAAUGUGGAGAGUGCUGGAAGAGCCUCAGCCAGAGCUCAGUGUCGUCAACCACCGGAGAGUCGGCACCGGAGAAAAACCGUACGAAUGCGGUGCCUGCGGGAGGCGAUUUAACAACAGUUCGCGUCAGAGAACCCAUGUGGGCGAGAGACUCUAAAUGCAGUAGAAAUGUCUUUAAAGCACCGAAUCUAGAGGCACCACAGAAUCUGUUCAAGAAGGCCCGUAUGGCCCUUGCGUCUAUACCACGGCCCCCAGGAGAUGGGGGAGAAGGGAUUUAGGUUGCAGUUCAAUAGAGGGCACUGUGUGCCUCUCACUGAAGACUCAGCUGGCUUAUGAAAUGCUACUCGGGCUUUCUUCCCCGUGCUGAGGACAUGGAAGCUAAUUUCCAGAGAAUUCAGGACUGGUCCCGUAUCGGACUGGAUCACCAUCGCAGUAGGCCUCCCUUCGGAUUCUGUGCCUUAAUUUCCACAGCUUGGGAAUAUGGGGGUGAGACUUGUCCCCAAGGCCCCUGCAAGGACAGAGGAGGCUGCCCCGCCGCACUCAUGGCAUUAGCGGCGGCUCCGCCACAGUGCCAGUAAUUGCUGGGCUCUUCCUUCUCAGCGCUGGGCAGCUAGACAGGGAUUUAUUAACUCAGUACAUUUUCCAGGGUCUUCCACGGUUCUCCCUGGGGAACUGUCUACAUCUCUCCGCAUUCCUCUUAUUAUCCGAGAGGAAAGCACUCUAGCAUAUCGUUUGGAGGAGGAAAGGUCAGGCUGGCUUUCUAAACCAUGACCUACGCUUCCUCUCGGCAUGUUAGGCUGAACCACAGGAGACUGGUGUUUUUGAGGUACGAAACUAGCAAUUAUCAGGGUUCGACCUAAGGAGAUGUCUCGUGGGGUGGAGCUGCUCCAAGUCGCCAGCAGUCCUCCUGGCGGGCCUCAGUGCUCCCUGGGUCUGGGAGACCACGAACAGGAUGGUGAAGUGGGGAAGCCUGUUCUGUAUGUCCGGAGCAACAACUGCUAACCUUGGCCGUGGUUGAGAAGGAGGCCGGGCUGGAGGAGCUGCCUCUGUACCCCCAGCAUCUGACGAGCCUGCUGGUCCCCACAGGGGAGGCCGUGUGCAGGUGCGCGGGCCCUGGAGAUGGGGGGCGGGGGGCGUCUCUGAGCGAGCAGAGCACAGCCCCAGAAGGAGGGACUCUGCCACACACAGCACAUGGUGCUUGGAAAUAAACGGAAUACAGUUUCUUCCUCUUGAAAUAGUUUCCCUCGUGCAUUUGACUUGAAAAUAUUUCCCCCCAACUUUCCAGAAACCCACCAAUUAUAAAACAAAGCACAGCCUACACCUAUAACAAUUUCCUAUCCUCAGAUUUAUAGAAUAUGAUUAAGGAGUCUUUUUUAAUGAACAUAAAAGAACUUAUUCAAAUAAGUGUUGUCUGUCGAAAGCAGCCGUCCCGAUGGACUGUGGACUUUGUGUUGUUGCCAUUAUUGAGGACGUUGAGUUUUCUUUUGAGAAUUGUCCUCAAACCACCUUACAGGCCUCCUAUCACGUGUUUCCAGCACAGAGUGGUGUCUUGCACGUAAGAAAGGCUUAAUAAACACAGACAGAUUGACCACCGUGCUUCCUAUCUAGCCUGAUCACCUCUCUUACCCAUACUUGUCUCUGCCCACUGUCUGCUCUCUGAACACCGAAUCCCUUCAAAGGACGUCAACCUGCUGCCAUGGAGGAUACUUCACAGAGCCUACUUUUGGAGAAGGUCUUCAAGAGGCAGCCCAGAAAUCUGAGU